UACGGAGGGGGUUAGUGUUGUUCGGAAUUACUGGGCGUAAAGCGUGCGUAGGCGGACUAUUAAGUCAGGGGUGAAAGCCCUGGGCUCAACCCAGGAAUUGCCCUUGAUACUGGUAGUCUGGAGUUCUGGAGAGGUGAGUGGAAUUCCGAGUGUAGAGGUGAAAUUCGUAGAUAUUCGGAGGAACACCAGUGGCGAAGGCGGCUCACUGGCCAGAUACUGACGCUGAGGUGCGAAAGUGUGGGGAGCAAACAGG
rnacentral:misc_RNA from 1 species